rnacentral:rRNA from 1 species
GACGAACGCUGGCGGCGUGCUUAACACAUGCAAGUCGAACGGAAAGGCCUGCUUUCCCUUGUGGAUUGCGGGUACUCGAGUGGCGAACGGGUGAGUAACACGUGAGUGAUCUGCCCCCAACUUGGGUAUAAGCCUGGGAAACUGGGUCUAAUUCCCGAUAGGACUGCAGGGUGGUGCCUGUGGUGGAAAACGAUUUUCUAGUGGUUGGGGAUGAGCUCGCGGCCUAUCAGCUUGUUGGUGGGGUAAUGGCCUACCAAGGCGGCGACGGGUAGCCGGCCUGGGAGGGUGGACGGCCACAUUGGGACUGAGAUACGGCCCAGACUCCUACGGGAGGCAGCAGUGGGGAGUAUUGCACGAUGAGCGGAAGCCUGAUGCAGGGACGCCGCGUGGGGGAUGACGGCCUUCGGGUUGUAAACUCCUUGCGACCGCGAGGAAGCCACCUGGUUGGAAGGGUGGUGACGGUAGUGGCAGAAGAAGCACCGGCUAACUACGUG